AGAGGGAGGUAGGGAGGGAUGGAGUAAGGUUGAGAAGGAAAAACAACAGGAGAGAGAACAGACAGCCAGAGCAUCAUAGAGACAGACAGAGGUAGAGCAGGGGCAGGAAAAGCUACACUCUAUCUGGCAACCAUGACAACCGAGGAAAACGGAUAACAAGCCCCUGUACCCUAACACCACCAGCAAGCUGUCUGUGAACCUUGAUGGCCACAGAGACAUUGAAAACCUGGAAUUAUGUAAAUAAUCUUGCUCUCCUUUUCAAGAUCGAUUAGUUCUUUUUUUUCGCCUUUUUACCUGGUGAGAUGUGGGGUUGAAUUCAGCUCUUCCGUCAGGGUGGGCUGAACCCAGAUCAAAAUGAACAGCUGGGAACCGCACACCAGAGCCUUUUUUACUGUGACCCAUCAAUGGAAUCCCUGAGGUGGACAUAAUACUGCUCAAUGGUUCUCCUCUGGAGCAAACAAGCAGGCAUGCUGCCAGCAGACUUGAAGAUAUUUUCAUGAAAUGAGAUAGAAGAAAGGAAGUAUGUAAGCCAGUUAACACCAGCAUUCUCUGGACUUGUGCCGUCUCAUUCAAAGUCCACAUGAACCUCAUGGCGCAGCUGUACUACAACAAGGCCAGUAACUCUCCAUACCUGGACCGUAUCCCUCUGCAGAUCGUGAGGGCAGAAGUUGAGCUGUCUGCCAAGGAACGAGCAUAUCUGACGGCAGUGGAGAAGGGUGAUUAUGCCGGAGUUAAACAGGCCCUUGAGGAGGCAGAUAUAUAUUACAACAUUAAUGUGAACUGCCUAGACCCGUUAGGCCGCAGUGCGCUCCUCAUUGCUAUCGAGAAUGAGAACCUGGAGGUGAUGGAGCUGCUAUUGAGUCAUGGCGUGCAUACUGGUGAUGCGCUCCUCUAUGCUAUCCGCAAGGAAGUGGUGGGAGCUGUUGAGUUACUGCUAUCCUACAGGAAGCCCUGUGGCGAGAAACAAGUUCCCUCUCUCAUGAUGGACACACAGUUUUCUGAGUUCACGCCCGAUAUCACACCUAUCAUGUUGGCUGCCCACACUAAUAACUAUGAGAUAAUCAAGCUCUUAGUUCAACGAAAAGUUACUAUCCCUCGGCCACAUCAAAUCCGCUGUGACUGUGUGGAAUGUGUAUCCAGCUCUGAGGUGGACAGCCUGAGGCACUCCCGUUCACGCCUAAACAUCUACAAAGCUCUUGCCAGCCCCUCUCUCAUAGCUCUGUCAAGUGAAGAUCCCAUCCUUACAGCGUUUAGGCUGGGCUGGGAGCUAAAAGAGCUCAGUAAGGUGGAGAAUGAAUUCCGACAGGAGUAUGACGAGCUUUCACAGCAGUGUAAGCUUUUUGCUAAAGACCUUCUUGAUCAGGCGCGUAGUUCCCGUGAGCUGGAGACGAUCCUUAACCAUCGGGAUGACCACAGUGAGGAACUGGACCUCGGUGAGUGCAGAGACCUGGCCAAACUUAAACUAGCCAUCAAGUACCACCAGAAAGAGUUUGUUGCUCAGCCCAACUGCCAACAACUCCUGGCAACACUGUGGUAUGAUGGUUUCCCGGGCUGGAGGCGACGUCAUUGGGCAGUGAAGCUUGUCACAUGCUUCAUCAUUGGUCUGCUCUUCCCUGUAUUCUCCAUCAUAUACCUUCUGGCUCCAAAGAGCACACUGGGAACCUUUAUUAAGAAACCAUUCAUCAAGUUCAUCUGCCACACAGCCUCCUAUCUGACCUUCCUCUUCCUCCUCCUCCUCGCUUCACAGCAUAUUGUUCAGACUGAUCUGCAUGUACAGGGACCUCCACCAACAUUUGUUGAGUGGAUGAUCUUACCUUGGGUUCUAGGUAAGUCUUUUUGGUAUACAUUGAGUUCAAAAACAGGAUAGAUAGGUGGAUGGAUUGAUGGAUGGAUGGAUGGAUGGAUGGAUGAUUGGUAGCCACUACUGUAAAUGUGUUGUAGAAAAAAGGUUUUUACAGUACUGAAUUAUUUCAUUUGUAUCCAUUAGUACAACAGCUCUCGUCCUCGUGUGGAGUGGGAAAUGUGGCACCCAACACUCAUCGCUGAGGCUCUAUUUGCUAUUGCCAACAUCUUCAGCUCCCUGCGUCUCAUCUCUUUGUUCACUGCCAACUCUCACUUGGGCCCACUGCAAAUCUCUCUCGGUCGCAUGUUGCUGGACAUUCUCAAGUUCCUUUUCAUCUACUGUUUGGUGCUUCUGGCCUUUGCCAAUGGCCUCAACCAACUCUAUUUCUACUAUGAGACAAAGGCAUCUGAAGAGCCCAACAACUGCAAAGGGAUUCGUUGUGAAAAGCAGAAUAACGCCUUUUCCACGCUCUUCGAAACUCUUCAGUCUCUCUUCUGGUCUGUGUUCGGGCUGUUGAAUCUGUAUGUUACCAAUGUGAAGGCUCGUCACGAAUUCACAGAGUUUGUAGGAGCCACCAUGUUUGGCACUUACAACGUCAUCUCUCUGGUGGUACUAUUGAACAUGCUCAUUGCUAUGAUGAACAACUCCUACCAGCUUAUCGCUGAUCAUGCAGACAUCGAGUGGAAAUUUGCUCGUACUAAGCUCUGGAUGAGCUACUUUGAUGAGGGAGGGACAUUACCACCACCCUUUAACAUCAUACCAAGCCCAAAGUCUGUGUGGUACCUGUGUGUGUGGCUGCACUGCCGACUGUGUGGACAUGGAGAGCCUAGGCACGAGGACAAGUGUAAACACAAAAACCUUAAAGAGUUUACGGAAAGGCAUGCUGAUAACCUCAUUCAGAAUCAGCAUUACCAGGAGGUGAUCAGAAACUUGGUAAAGCGAUAUGUUGCAGCCAUGAUCCGCAGUGCCAAAACAGAUGAAGGCCUAACAGAAGAAAACUUCAAGGAACUGAAGCAGGACAUCUCUAGUUUCCGCUAUGAGGUUCUUGACCUGCUGGGCAAUCGUAAACCACCACGCCGCACAUAUUCUUCCAGCAGCGAGGCCACUCAGCAGGAUGAGACAGCUGAGCCAGAGGAAGUAGAUGAGGAAAGAAACCACAGGCUUGGAGGACAUACAUGUGUAGAUGAAGGAGAACGAUCCAGAUACAAAGCAUCUACAUCCUUCUCCCAGUGUUACAGGAGAAACCGAGAGUCCCAGUUCAGUAUAUCAGCUCUCUUCAAGUCUAUAUCAGGACCAGCAAGAGAAAAACCUGAAAGCAAUGGCUUGAGGAAGAACAUAUCCCAUCCCUCUCCAUUUGUACGGACCAACAGCCGCCUACAGCACUUUUCACACUCCAAGAAAAACUCUUUGCAACGUUUGGGAAUGCUGAUGUUGCGUAUGAAUGGACAUGUCCCAGAUACGCACGCAGAAACCUUAGAAGUUCAGCAGUCUGCAUAUAGCAUCUCAGACAGGGUACCGCAAACAUCUUGGCACAACCCCCAAAAUCUUUCAAAGGUUACGAGGAGCGAGACACACUUGCACACUCUGGGAUUGGGAGCACUUGAGACUGAAGAGAAUCCAAUGCAUGCCAUCUCUAAUCGAGCAAACGGAAGUGACAAUCUCUUCCACCAGCGACCCGGCCACUCGCUGCCCCCAUUGCACUGCGCUUCCAGUCUGACCACCUCCAGUGUCCAGCUUUUGGCAUCCAGUGAUUACAUAUGCCACAGCUGGUUGGGACCAUGUGACAGUUUGGGCUCCUCAAGCUGGGAACCGGAUGAAACGGUUACAACACAGCUGUAGAGGUGGUAGCAAUGUCAAGCUUAAUAUUACUGUCUCAGCUUAAAUCUUUAGUUCAACCAAAAAUAAAAAUAAAAAUCUGUUAUUAAUUACUUAA